rnacentral:rRNA from 1 species
UACAGAGGGUGCAAGCGUUAAUCGGAAUUACUGGGCGUAAAGAGCAUGUAGGCGGAUGCUUAAGUCAAAUGUGAAAGCCUCGGGCUCAACCUGAGAACUGCAUUUGAUACUGGGUGUCUAGAGUGUAGUAGAGGAAAGUGGAAUUUCCGGUGUAGCGGUGGAAUGCGUAGAUAUCGGAAGGAAUAUCAGUGGCGAAAGCGACUUUCUGGACUAAUACUGACGCUGAGAUGCGAAAGCGUGGGGAGCAAACAGG